AAUAAACCGCUGUACUUUCGACAUUUAGUUUCCGCUCCUCCUUGGUGUAUAUGUCAUUUUAUUUUUAAUCCUGAACUGUAAUGGGUUUUAUCGUAUGAUUUUUCAUGCUGCAGUGUCCAGCUUUAAUUUUUAGAAUUGCAUUAGUAGUUUCAUCUGGUUUGUGAGACUUUCUCCGCCGUGGCCUAGAAAUGUUUUAUAUGUUGUUGCCUACCGCCCCCCGCUUCCCUCUCCCUCCUCCUUUCUCUUGGAUGUAGUUUUUUAAUUGAGGGUCAUGGUAUUUGAUUAAAUGGUUAUUUACAGUUUACGUGAUGUAUCUAUUAAAAACUUUUGAUCUGUAGGGUUAGAUUUAAGUAAACGAAAAGCUCGUGCUGGUUUGAGAUGGUUCCUUAAAAUGCGCGGGCCGUCCCCCCCACCCCCCCCG
rnacentral:lncRNA from 1 species